CGGGGCCUUCUUCUUGGGUACCGUCAAGUCCGAAGACCUUCUUCCCCAAGGACAGAGCUUUACGAUCCGAAGACCUUCAUCGCUCACGCGGCGUCGCUGCGUCAGACUUCCGUCCAUUGCGCAAUAUUCCCUA
rnacentral:rRNA from 1 species